rnacentral:lncRNA from 1 species
UAAUGCCUGUUGCCUUUCUGACAUGCCACACCAUGAAGAGACUGGCUCUGUGAUUCAAAUGACUUCUUGUUAGGUAUCUGAGACUGUCUGAAGACUGGGAAAGCCACUCCCCCCUCAAGGAUGCAUUUAUGCGUUGAAUCAGAGAGCCCAAGCAAAAGGUUUUGAGAUAAUUCUUGUCAAGCAGCAGAGGUGAACUUUAGGGUGACAGCAAAUUCAGGCCAGGAAGCAAAAGCCCUGUUCUGCAGAGGGUGACAUGUCCUGGGUCAGCCCAAGCAAGGUGCAGCUGUCUCUUCAUGCCGUGUGUGCAGCAAAACCACCCAGCUGAAGGAAAAGCAUGCUGAUACAGUACAGCUGAUGGCACUGGAGGGGGCUCAGGGAUUGCCAACCUUCUGUGUGCAGAACAGGCACUUGGACAACGGUAUCAAGCUGAUAAACGGUCUGCUUCGUUCCCUUCUCUCGCCACCUCAGCCACCUGCAUCCACCUCCAGUUUCCUCUCUUGUGCUGAUCAUGUUAAAGCACUAGCUGUAUUGAUUUUAGAGCAAACAGAAUUGAUUUUAGAGUAAAUCUCCUAGAGAUUGCAGGAGAGAUUCAGAGUCCAUUUAAAUGACUAGGGACCCCUGGUAUGCUUCAUUAGAUCCAGGGUGAGCAGGGGCAACAUCUGCAGCAUAGUAAUAACCAGAUCAAAGCUCCUGCUAUGUUAAUACACAAGACCAUGUUGAAAAGUGAAUGCAGAUGGACCUGGUCCCAUCCAUUCACCAGUUUCUUUAUUGCUUAGUAAUUUGGGUGUAUUUAUU